GAUGAACGCUGGCGGCGUGCUUAACACAUGCAAGUCGAACGGGAAACCUUUUAUUGAAGCUUCGGCAGAUUUAGCUGGUUUCUAGUGGCGGACGGGUGAGUAACGCGUGGGUAACCUGCCUUAUACAGGGGGAUAACAACCAGAAAUGGUUGCUAAUACCGCAUAAGCGCACAGGACCGCAUGGUCCGGUGUGAAAAACUCCGGUGGUAUAAGAUGGACCCGCGUUGGAUUAGCUAGUUGGCAGGGUAACGGCCUACCAAGGCGACGAUCCAUAGCCGGCCUGAGAGGGUGAACGGCCACAUUGGGACUGAGACACGGCCCAGACUCCUACGGGAGGCAGCAGUGGGGAAUAUUGCACAAUGGGGGAAACCCUGAUGCAGCGACGCCGCGUGAAGGAAGAAGUAUCUCGGUAUGUAAACUUCUACCAGCAGGGAAGAUAGUGACGGUACCUGACUAAGAAGCCCCGGCUAACUACGUG
rnacentral:rRNA from 1 species